GAGGAUAUAGCUCAGUGGUAGAGUGCCUGCUUAGCAUGCACAAGGUCCUGGGUUCAAUCCCCAGUACCUCCA
rnacentral:tRNA from 1 species